ensembl:lncRNA
CUCUCGCCCUCCAGGCUUGAGCCCUAAUAAUCCUAAGGAAAACAAUAGGGCUCUCGCCCUCCAGGCUUGAGCCCUAAUAAGAAUAAUAAAUAUAGCUGCAAGCAGCGAUGGCGGGCUCAAGCCAUCAGCGCAAACGCCACCCCGGUGGCAUCAGGGGGCGCCGUAGAGCCCCUGUGCCACGCCCGGGUCUCAGCCUCUGCAGCCUCCUAAUGGCCACAGAUUCUAAGGUGUGUGCAAAUUUUCAAGAGUUUUUGAGCAUGUUAAGGGCCCCAAAAGCCCCCACAACUUUGACGAAAAAUAAGAAUACUAAACCCUAAAUAGCCAACUUCCUGUUGGGUGGAGCCUAUGACAUGCAGUACGAAAGUUGUUUGGCUUGAUGAGAUCUAUAUGUGUACCGAGUUUCAUACGUCUACGUGCAAGUAUGUAUGAUAUAUGGCCCUCCAUAUUCCAGGGGGCGCUGUAGAGCCCCUGUGCCACGCCCGUGUAUCAGUCUCUGCCCGGCCCUAAUGGCCGCAGGUUCCAAUGUGUGUGCCAAUUUUCAAGAGUUUUCGAGUAUGUUAAGGGCCCCAAAAGCCCCCGAGACGUUGGAAAAAAAUAAUAAUAAUAAUAAAAAAUAAUCCUAAGGAAAACAAUAGGGCUCUCGCCCUCCAGGCUUGAGCCCUAAUAAUAAACGAAGCAGAUACAAGAGGGUCCUCACACCAUCGGUGCUCGGGCCCUAAUAAUAAAUAUAGCUGCAAGCAGCGAUGGCGGGCUCAAGCCAUCAGCACAAACGCCACCCCGGUGGCAUCAGGUAAACUGUGCCCAGCGGGCACAUGCAUUUACAGUAAUCCUCUGGCACUCAGGUUUUAAGGGAUACAGCAAUUAACAGGUUAAUCCGAAGCAUCAAGACUUUGAAAUCACAUACACAGAACAAUAUUCAUUAAGAAAGUGAAAUUAAAUGAUUAAUAAACUAUUUAUUUGAACCCUUGCUAUUUUCUAUUCUAAUAAGAGUCUUGGCUGUGGAACACCUGUAAUAGAGUUGGCUAGCUGGAUGCAAAUAAAGUCAUGCCUUUUAUUUGUUCCCCUGUUUGCUAUUUCACAUUCCUGUCACUGAAGCGUUGUGGCCAAAGACACAGAAGGUAACUGAAACAAUGUGGUUUAAGUCCAGGUGAUCAUAAGGGGUCCAAGCACAAUGGUUUGUGUAGAUGAUGCAGUUAAACAAUGGGACGUGUCUCUUUUUCAAGUAAAUUAUUAUACGCACAACAUGAAAAAUAGAUAACAAAUAUAGUGUCCCUUCUUCACUUUUUUUCAGUAAUGCGUGAUAACUUGAGAAAUAUGUUGUCAAUACUAUUAAAAAUAAGAUAAAAAAACGUAAUGGUAUUUCGGAGAUGAUAGUUUUUUUGCAUAAUUACUAUAUUGGGCUUUAUUGAAGUUUAUGAAAAAAGAAUGAAUGUAUAUGCAUUUUUGAUUUAUUUACAUAAAUGAAACAUUUUCAAGUCUUUGAACAGAUCUUGAAGUAUUUGCUGUCAUGUGGCGCCAUCGAGUGGACAACAUUAGCAUUGUGCCCUUCAUUUUUGAACAACAUUAUGAAAGGGGGCAAUAUUUUUUGAUUGAUUAUAAAUAUUUAAUGAUUAGUUUACUGAUAAUAUACCCACAUUAAAAUCGAAUUUACUGAUUCUGUAUCUUAUUUCAUGCUUAAUCAUGAGUUUAAUUUUCAACUUACAUUUUUAAGCAGUGUUGAAUGAUUACUAUGUGAGUUGCUAAAUUUGUUUUGUUUUUACAAUUAUAAUACAUAAACUAUAUAAUGAUGAAAAAUACAACAGUUAUUGUUUUCAUAAUAUUUACUAUUGACAAUCGUUAUUCUGUAUUGUAAAGAAGAAGGUUUUUUUAUGACAACAAAAAAAUGGUCAUUACUAAAAAAAUUAAACACUAAUUUAAUUCAUAGUUUUAUUUUUCUAUAGGUUAAGCACCUUUUCGUAAAUAUGGCUGUUUCCCAGUUUUAUUUUUUUUUUUUUUUUUUUUUUUUUUAGGAUUUACAUUUAAAAAAAUGAGCCUACUUCAAACAUUUUAAGCAGCUUGAACAAAAACCUGUUAAUAUUUAUUAUAGACCACUGUAACUGUCUAUUAUCUAAAAACAAAUUUAUUAUGAAAAAUAAAAAGUGUGUACACCAGUUAAACUGGACGAUAAAGAAAUUGCUAACAAUAGUUUAAUAGAGCAUGUUUUAGGUUUAUAGGUGUUUAGAUGCAGAAAUUUAAUUUAAUUAAAUAUAGAUUAAUUCUUGUUAGAGCAAAAAAAUAAUAAUAAUAAUAAUAAUAAUAAUAAAUACAUGAAUACAUACAAAAAAAGCAGCCAAGACGAAUGAUUUUCUGUUUUUAUAGAUUAAAAUUAAAGACAGAAAGCAGCUGGUAAAUGCAGUCACUUUAAUAUUCAAAUCCAGUAUCAUGAUACGCUUCAGAUUUAUUUCUCAACUGUUUAUUCGCCAAGCUAUUAUGUAUUUUGAAAUAACCUUGUUCUUGAUUUGUUCGUUCUUGCCAGAAUCAGCGUCCUCUGGAGCUCGAGAGAUCGAUGUUAUUCUGCCCUUAGACAGUCUCGCGCUGUCAAAUAGUCUUUCAAUUUUCACAAUCAAACAGCUCACAAAUACCUGAAUUUAGCUCUUUGUUGUGUUCUAAUGGGAUUGUAAAAAGCUCUUAAAACUAUAAAAAUGCUUUUAUUGUGAGCUCGUGUUGAGACUGCACGCGCUGAUGCAGCGGUGAUUUCUCUCUGGUCUUUCUCACUGUUCUGGCCAGACAUCAAUUAUUAAUGAGAUCUGAGCCGGUAAUAAUAACAUAUGUUGGUUCAGCUUGUCAGUGUGAAUUAAAUGUGUAUUUAUUUGUUCGUUCUCGCCGAAAAACCAUCACCGUGUUCUGGAGCGCAGAGCAAUCGAUGUGAUGUUCAGCCCUUAGACAAAGAAAAUCUCACAAGCACUCAUAAACACUCAUUUUCAUCUCUAUAAUAUGUUCUUCUAAUUGUUUUUUGUUGAUUCGCCGCUGUGUUUUAAUGUAAAAGGCUGUAGUUUCUGUAUGUACACUUUUUUUCCCUUCAAGUGUUCAGACGUCUCGCGCUGUCAGACAGGCUGCAGCAAAUAUUUCAUUUUAACAUGUUAA